GUCUACGGCCAUACCACCCUGAACACGCCAAAUCUCGUCUAUCUCAGAAGCCAAGCAGGGUCAGGCCUGGUUAGUAUUGGAUGGGAAACUGCCUGGGAAUUCCAGGUGCUAUAGGCU
rnacentral:rRNA from 1 species